rnacentral:rRNA from 1 species
GGAUAGGCCGGAGGCUUUGAAGCAUGCACGCUAGUGUGUGUGGAGCCAUCCUUGAAAUACGGCCCUUUGGCUGUCUGAGGUCUAACGCGCCUAUGGUGCGGACACUGCUUGGUGGGUAGUUUGACUGGGGUGGUCGCCUCCAAAAGCGUAACGGAGGCUUCCAAAGGUGCCCUCGGGCCGAUUGGUAACCGGCCUUAUAGAGUGUAAUGGCAUAAGGGCGCUUGACUGGGAGGCAGACAUGCCGAGCAGGCAGGAAACUGGGGCAUAGUGAUCCGGUGCAAGUGUAUGGAAACUGCAUCGCUCAAAGGAUAAAAGGUACUCCGGGGAUAACAGGCUGAUCCCCCCCAAGAGCUCAUAUCGACGGGGUGGUUUGGCACCUCGNNNNNNNNNNGUUCAGAACGUCGUGAGACAGUUCGGUCUCUAUCUAUCGUGGGCGUUGGAGUUUUGCGUGGUGCCGCCACUAGUACGAGAGGACCGUGGUGGACAGACCUCCGGUUUACCAGUUGUGCCGCCAGGUGCACCGCUGGGUAUCUGAGUCUGGAUUGGAUAAGCGCUGAAAGCAUCUAAGUGCGAAGCCAGCCGCAAGAUGAGAACUCCUCAUAAGGGUCGUCAUAGACGAUGACGUUGAUAGGGUGUAGGUGUAAAGACGGUGACGUCAAAGCCGAGCACUACUAAUUGCCCGAAACUUUCAUU